rnacentral:rRNA from 1 species
UACGUAGGCAGCAAGCGUUGUUCGGAGUUACUGGGCGUAAAGGGUGUGUAGGCGGUUCGUUGUGUCGGCGGUGAAAGCCCCGGGCUUAACCUGGGAAUGGCCGUUGAAACUGGCGAACUGGAGUGUGGCAGAGGGGGGUGGAAUUCCGCGUGUAGCAGUGAAAUGCGUAGAGAUGCGGAGGAACACCGAUGGCGAAGGCAGCCCCCUGGGCUAACACUGACGCUCAGGCACGAAAGCGUGGGGAGCAAACAGG